AUUGAACGCUGGCGGCAGGCCUAACACAUGCAAGUCGAACGGUAGCAGGAAGCAGCUUGCUGCUUCGCUGACGAGUGGCGGACGGGUGAGUAAUGUCUGGGAAGCUGCCUGAUGGAGGGGGAUAACUACUGGAAACGGUAGCUAAUACCGCAUAAUGUCGCAAGACCAAAGAGGGGGACCUUCGGGCCUCUUGCCAUCGGAUGUGCCCAGAUGGGAUUAGCUUGUUGGUGGGGUAACGGCUCACCAAGGCGACGAUCCCUAGCUGGUCUGAGAGGAUGACCAGCCACACUGGAACUGAGACACGGUCCAGACUCCUACGGGAGGCAGCAGUGGGGAAUAUUGCACAAUGGGCGCAAGCCUGAUGCAGCCAUGCCGCGUGUAUGAAGAAGGCCUUCGGGUUGUAAAGUACUUUCAGCGGGGAGGAAGGGAGUAAAGUUAAUACCUUUGCUCAUUGACGUUACCCGCAGAAGAAGCACCGGCUAACUCCGCG
rnacentral:rRNA from 1 species